rnacentral:rRNA from 1 species
CCAAUAGCGUAUAUUAAAGUUGUUGCAGUUAAAAAGCUCGUAGUUGAAUUUCGGGGCCAGUAGGUUGGUCGUGCCACUGGUAUGCACUGGUCUCACUGGUCCCUCCUUCUUGUAGAACCGUGAUGGCAUUAAUUUGUUGUUGCGGGGAAACAGGACUGUUACUUUGAAAAAAUUAGAGUGCUUAAAGCAGGCUCGCGCUUGAAUACAUUAGCAUGGAAUAACGAAAUAGGACGAUCGAACCUAUUUUGUUGGUUUCUAGGUUCGACGUAAUGAUUAAUAGGGAUAGUUGGGGGCAUUAGUAUUCAAUUGUCAGAGGUGAAAUUCUUGGAUUUAUUGAAGACUAACUACUGCGAAAGCAUUUGCCAAGGAUGUUUUCAUUAAUCAAGAACGAAAGUUAGGGGAUCGAAGACGAUCAGAUACCGUCGUAGUCUUAACCAUAAACUAUGCCGACUAGGGAUCGGAUGAAGUUAAUUUUUUAAUGACUCAUUCGGCGCCUUACG